CGUGAUCUUUAAAGUUGACUAUCAAUUUUUGGUGCCAUUGCCGGGGAUUGCUAGCAUAGUUGUUUUUCUUUUCAUAAAUUAAACUUUCAAAUAUAUAUAUAUAUCUAAAAUAAAAUAAAAAUAUUUUCUAUUUUUACUUUACUUAUCUCCUUUUUCUCUUUUACUAAUUUUUGAUUUUUUCUCUUUGCAUUAUUUGAUCAGGAAUCGAAGAGAAAGUCUGGGACGAUCAAAAAGGAUAUUACUGAAAAAGGAAUACUGUAGAGGUUUGCCUAAAAAUAAUAAAAAAAAAUUGCUGGGAAAAUUUCCUUUGGUAACCUCUAAACCUUUCUUAUUUAAAUUGAUUCCCAGUUUGCUUAAAAUUUUGUGGUGAUUGUUUGAUUUUAAUUUCAAUAAAAGUGUGAAUGCAUGCUUGAUACACAUACACCAAUUAAUCCACACAUAGUAAGGACAAUCACCCCAACAAGAUAAGAACUGAAUUUCAUCACCAGAUUCUUGCCCAAAUUAGGUGAAUCAAUUCUCACAUAGCUAUCACUUUAAUUAAAAUCAAUUAGACGUUGGUCCUUAGGGACAUUCGAGCUCAAUAGGACGAAAAUCACCGAAAGUUGCACCAAUUUCGCUCUAUGGCUCAGUUGAUGUCUAGGCAAGCUUUGUCCCUAUAAGGAAAACAGUUCAUCUUUUUGAAGCAAGUGGUUUUUAAGUGGAACCUUUGCGAACGCAUC
rnacentral:lncRNA from 1 species